GACGAACGCUGGCGGCGUGCUUAACACAUGCAAGUCGAACGGAAAGGCCCUGCUUUUGUGGGGUGCUCAAGUGGCGAACGGGUGAGUAACACGUGAGUAACCUGCCCUUGACUUUGGGAUAACUUCAGGAAACUGGGGCUAAUACCGGAUAGGAGCUCCUGCUGCAUGGUGGGGGUUGGAAAGUUUCGGCGGUUGGGGAUGGACUCGCGGCUUAUCAGCUUGUUGGUGGGGUAGUGGCUUACCAAGGCUUUGACGGGUAGCCGGCCUGAGAGGGUGACCGGCCACAUUGGGACUGAGAUACGGCCCAGACUCCUACGGGAGGCAGCAGUGGGGAAUAUUGCACAAUGGGCGGAAGCCUGAUGCAACAACGCCGCGUGCGGGAUGACGGCCUUCGGGUUGUAAACCGCUUUCGCCUGUGACGAAGCGUGAGUGACGGUAAUGGGUAAAGAAGCACCGGCUAACUACGUGCCAGCAGCCGCGGUGAUACGUAGGGUGCGAGCGUUGUCCGGAUUUAUUGGGCGUAAAGGGCUCGUAGGUGGUUGAUCGCGUCGGAAGUGUAAUCUUGGGGCUUAACCCUGAGCGUGCUUUCGAUACGGGUUGACUUGAGGAAGGUAGGGGAGAAUGGAAUUCCUGGUGGAGCGGUGGAAUGCGCAGAUAUCAGGAGGAACACCAGUGGCGAAGGCGGUUCUCUGGGCCUUUCCUGACGCUGAGGAGCGAAAGCGUGGGGAGCGAACAGGCUUAGAUACCCUGGUAGUCCACGCUGUAAACGGUGGGUACUAGGUGUGGGGUCCAUUCCACGGGUUCCGUGCCGUAGCUAACGCUUUAAGUACCCCGCCUGGGGAGUACGGCCGCAAGGCUAAAACUCAAAGGAAUUGACGGGGCCCCGCACAAGCGGCGGAGCAUGCGGAUUAAUUCGAUGCAACGCGUAGAACCUUACCUGGGUUUGACAUGGAUCGGGAGUGCUCAGAGAUGGGUGUGCCUCUUUUGGGGUCGGUUCACAGGUGGUGCAUGGCUGUCGUCAGCUCGUGUCGUGAGAUGUUGGGUUAAGUCCCGCAACGAGCGCAACCCUUGUUCACUGUUGCCAGCACGUUAUGGUGGGGACUCAGUGGAGACCGCCGGGGUCAACUCGGAGGAAGGUGGGGAUGACGUCAAGUCAUCAUGCCCCUUAUGUCCAGGGCUUCACGCAUGCUACAAUGGCUGGUACAGAGAGUGGCGAGCCUGUGAGGGUGAGCGAAUCUCGGAAAGCCGGUCUCAGUUCGGAUUGGGGUCUGCAACUCGACCUCAUGAAGUCGGAGUCGCUAGUAAUCGCAGAUCAGCAACGCUGCGGUGAAUACGUUCCCGGGGCU
rnacentral:rRNA from 1 species